UAAUAAUACCAUUAAUUACUGGGAAUUUUUUUUUAAAAGGAAGUUUCCUUUGGAAACUGAAAUCGAAAACAAAGCGGUAUACUUCUCCUCUUCAUUCGUUUUAAAUAUGUUCACUAGUUUUUCACUGAAAAGAAAGAAAACAAAAGGUGAAAUGGCGAUGAACACCACCCUUCAAUGCUCAUCCUCAUCCAACCCCAGAUUCUGCUAAUAGAAGCCACGACACUCAAACCUCCUAAAUGAAAACGAACACCAUACCACCCAUUUCUAGACCUUAAGCUGAAUUUCUUUAAGCCAUCAUCUUUUCACAGUGGAUCUGAAGUUUGAAUAACAAAAACCCUAGCUUCUAAUCCGCCUCUCAUACCAACAAUCAACAAUCAAGAUUAAUAAAUCACAAACACAGAGCCAAAACUAUGUAAAAGUUGUGCUGUUGAAACAAUUAAAUCAAAUGGGAAGAAGUUUCGUUGAGGUUUCACAAAUUCGAUGAAAGUCUGGUAGUUGCGAAUAUACCUUGGGGUCCCUUUUUAGUGGAUUUCAUUCCCUUUUUAUAGAGAGGUGGUACGAGGUUCAUGCGUCCUUAUCCUUCAUGAGCUGGCAAAUCUUGGAUAGGAUCAAUCCGUUAGAGGGAAUUUUCCUUCAGAUUUGGUGGGGACCAAUUAUUUGCUCCAGAUUUUGUUAAGCAAGAAAUUCUUUCUGUCUGUUGUGAGUGAGUGUUUUUUUGUCUGUAGCGACGCAUUUUCAUCCAUUUAAAACUCAAGUGGUCCCUUUAAUCUGCAGCUUAAGCCUUCUAGCUUGGGACACUCGGCUGGUGAAAUCAUGAAUUACAUCGCAGUUGUUGCACAGGAGAACUUCCAUGGUGGUAUCUAAAAUGGACCUUUGCACUGCAACUUGUUCUUUCUAUUGUUAUCCUUUUUGGUGUGGUUGGUAUUGGUUUUAUGCAGGUGUGAAUGCAAUAGCCUGUUGUGUUGUAGUUGGUGCAGGUUCAUGGUUAUCGAGUAACCUGAAAUAUGGUUGUGGACAGGGUCUGUUUAUGUAUCAUGAUGUUGUAACAUGUGUGUUCCUGUUUUAAGCCUGAACUCUUUUAGCUGCAGAUUCAAACCUUGCAUAUUUAGUGUUUCCGCUGGUCUUACUUAGCUGAUGUGAUGAUGAUGUUUGACUCCAUGGCCAUUUGAGCUGCUGUGAAUGAUAAGUUUGAUUCAAUCCUUACUGAUUUUGCUUAGUAUAAUGGACUUGAUCAUAAUUGCUUUCCACUGAUGCACUUUGAAAUCUUGCGAACAACUGUGCAGGUAUAUGAAGGCUCGGUUUGGCGGCAAGCUUCCAAGAUGACUGGCAAUGUUGCUGGAAUUAACAACAUGAGCAGCACCAUCUGUCAAGAUAACUUGGAGAUUUUCAACUGGAUGUCCAAUUAAGGCACCAGAGUUGGCAGCUUCUUUAAAACCUUUUCUCCAUUGCAGGGAUAAAAUUUGGUGGAACAGCUUUGGCCAACAAGCAUGUUUUCAAAUUCAAACUUAGUUCCCGACUGUAAUGUAGAAUUCACUGUCUUGCCGAAUAUACUGUCCUCAUGGUUAAUGUAAUUUUCUUGUGAUGAGUGACUGGAAAUGAUGGCAUGUUAAGUUAUGUUCCAUGGUUUUUGUGCAACCCGGUUAUGGACUUAAGUUCAGAACACUGCCUGGUUACACAUACUUUUGGGAAAAUGUCUUGCGGACUUACAAGAGGAGUGGAAAUAUUCGGGUCGUGGUCGUGUUCACCGUGAACCUGGUUUAGAACCUGCAACUGAUUUUUUUUACCUGUACCUGGUUUUUAUUCAGAGGAACUUCACACCUUAUUUGGGUUUGAGCUGCUUUAUACAGUUGGAUUUUAUGAAAGAAUCCUCCCUUGUCAGAUCCAUCGAGAGCCAAUGCUUGUUUUUGCCACUACUUCAGUCUCAAAAACGAUUCUUGCAAAUUCUUGAAUAGUAGGGAAUCCUUCCAACAUGAACUUUUUGUAAUGUCAACCAAUCCUUAGAUCAUAGGCCACACAACUUUGUAAAAUCAUGAGGUUACUAUAACUGUAAAUUAUGCUUUUGACGAUGGUAUUUUCAGAAAGAUCAAGCCAUAGUUUCCAUGAGUUUAUCCAUUUCUUUGUUUUGCUGAAAUCAAAAACAGUUGCAGCAAGGUUGGCCUCAAUUCAUUAGCAUCGAUUUGGUUGAUUGCAGGUUGAACUCAGCUACUAUUUUCCAUUGUUAUGAUAUCAUUACUUGCUGCUGGAAGUGUCGGGAAUGUUGCCGGUAGCGGCUUUGGUUUACCUUAUUGAUAUGCCGCAGCUUUAAGUUUGGAUUUGAAUGGCAUGGAGUCCUUGUUGGUUUACUAUGUUGCAAAUAAAACCUGGUUGUAAUUCCCCUUUGUCUUACAUGUGAAACAAACCUUUGGUCUUGGGUUAUGUAAAAUUAUUGUCUCUGUUUUGUAAACUGAACUGCCAUUUGGAUUGUAUUAUCUUUUAAUCAUUUUGAACAAAGUGGAUUGUGAUUCA